rnacentral:rRNA from 1 species
AUUGAACGCUGGCGGCAUGCUUUACACAUGCAAGUCGAACGGUAACAGGCCGCAAGGUGCUGACGAGUGGCGAACGGGUGAGUAAUGCAUCGGAACGUGCCCAGUCGUGGGGGAUAACUACUCGAAAGGGUAGCUAAUACCGCAUACGAUCUAUGGAUGAAAGCGGGGGACCGUAAGGCCUCGCGCGAUUGGAGCGGCCGAUGUCAGAUUAGGUAGUUGGUGGGGUAAAGGCUCACCAAGCCAACGAUCUGUAGCUGGUCUGAGAGGACGACCAGCCACACUGGGACUGAGACACGGCCCAGACUCCUACGGGGGGCAGCAGUGGGGAAUUUUGGACAAUGGGCGCAAGCCUGAUCCAGCAAUGCCGCGUGCAGGAAGAAGGCCUUCGGGUUGUAAACUGCUUUUGUACGGAACGAAACGGCUCUGGUUAAUACCCGGGGCUAAUGACGGUACCGUAAGAAUAAGCACCGGCUAACUACGUG